UACAGCAGUGUGUAGUGAGGAUUGUUACAAGAUUUUGUUAAAUAAGGUCUAGUAUUGAAGACUAGUUAAUUCAGUCUGAAUUCAUAGACUACCAAUGGCAAUGUAUUAGGCAUGUACUGCUGUUAUCUAAUGUCAACAGAAGCCCCCUUGUCUUAUAUAACAGAAGCCCCCUUGUUUUAUAGUGCUAAAUGAAAGUACUUUGCAUACAAUGUAUGGGUAUGCAUUCUGUGUUUAGGCACUUGUGUUGUAGAUGUAUCGCAUAUUAUGUGUAGAGGCAGUAUAUCAUCAGUGUUCAAGUGAAUGUCUCAACAGUGAAGUUGCUAGUUGCAACCAUCUUCAAAAGUUUGAUUUCCAGUGAUUGUGGAGCAUUUUACAGACCCGAAUUGGUAAGAACUCACUUAAUAUAAUAGUGGUAGUUAAUGUUGAAUUGUUUUAUGAAGUAAUGUAAGCUUAGGAGAGAAUAUUAGACAUCUUUCUUGUUAUAUAUAGUUUGGAACUUGAAGGGCAAGGAAAGUUAUGUGUGUGCUCUUCCAGUGUACUUAGGAGAUGCGUGCAUUGUACUGUACUCUCUCUCUCUCUCUCUCUUCUCUGUAUCGCUAUCCACCCCUCUCUGAUCUCACCCUUUCUCUCUCUCUUUCUCUCUCUCUCUCUCUCUCUCUUCCCCUCUCUAUCCCUUUCUUCAGCUCUCUAUUCAUGUUUGUUACAGUGCCACUGUGAUGGUGAUGACUGCAUUAUAAUGUAUUUUAAUUAAGACAGGUACUUUCUUAUCUAGUAGGAUAUUAUUCUUUAUACUUGUAGUUGUUUUGUUGCAGCAUAUAUAUGUACAUAGACUGCGUAAUUAGUUAAUUACAUACAUGCAAGUUGACUUAUAUUUCAUUGUCUAGUCAAGGUUUAUAACUUGUUGCUUAUAAAACAAAGAGACAGUUUUGGAGUACAUGUAGUCAGUAUUAUGUAGGUUCAAUCUCUUUAUUAAGCUAUUUUGACAUGAUAUAUAUGCACAUGUAUUGUUGUAGUGUCUCAUAAGUAUGAACAUUAUGUAGUUUGUUUCUCUUUCUGUUGUGUUACAGAUUGUUAUCUGAAGGUUGAGUGACCAUACGACCAGUGAAUAAACGACAGUUCGUGAACUUUAACUGAAUCUUCGUACCUCGUCAUUUCAAUCUUGUGAAUAACAACUUUAGGGUGUUUGUGUAAUCGUCGAAACUCCUCGGUUUACUAGUUGUAAACGGAGGCAGCCACAAUAACAAUCAAGGAUCUGCAUGUGCAUCCAGUUAGCUGAAUGGCUAAGUAGCCUGUGUAUCCAGUUAGCUGAAUGGCAAAGUAGCCUGUGCAUCCAGUUAGCUGAAUAAGAAUCAAGGAUCUGCAUGUGCAUCCAGUAAGCUGAAUGGCAAAGUAGCCAUAGACUUAAACGAAUAGUGAAUUGUAUAAGUUACCAUGGCAACGGCCACUAGUCUCCCUGAUAAGCUCGAGGAAGGGAGCGUUAAAAGUAAGCGCUCCGUGCAAAGCGAAAGAGUUCUUCAAGCGUUCCAUGCUGAACUCCAGAUGAUGGAUCAAGAGGAUGAACUCAAAAGAAUUGAGUUUGCCAGAAAACAAGAAGAAGCAAAUUCAAAAUUGAGAAAACUCAAGCUCACCAAGCAGUUCAAUGAGAGAAUGGCAGAACUUGAAGGAAGCAGGGAUGACAUUGAAUAUUCAGAGACCCAUUCUGUCAAAUUAGAUCUUCCUGAGGAGAAAAUGGAGGACUCCAUCCAGAGAUAUUUGCAAUCCCAAGAUAGUGUAGCACAGCAGAGCCCUCAACAGUCAAGGAGUGAUGUCACUCCUGUGUAUGAAUCAAAUGGGUUGCAAAGGGUAGCUGAAUCACUCGCAGAGGUAGCAAGGUCGAUGGCUAUACAAAGUGCUAGCUCUCAGCAGGUCGCUGUGACCAGUCAGUUGCCGCACAUCGAUCUUCCCGUAUUCAGUGGAGACCCCCUCCAGUAUCCCCUCUGGAAAAAUGCAUUCGUGAGCCUCGUAGACAGGAAUCCAGUUGAUCAUCCUACAAAGCUGCAUUACCUGAAUAACUCUGUGGCUGGAGCACCAAAGAGGUUGGUGCAGCACUAUCUUCUUCUUGGCACUGAGGACGCCUACCACAAAGCAUGUGGAGCACUUGCAGAACGAUACGGAAGCCAGAGCGUAGUGUCUGCUGCCUUCACAAAGAAGUUGAACUCAUGGCCAAGGAUCAGCAACCAAGACUCUACAGGAUUGAGGGAUUUCGCAGACUUCUUGAACCAGGUGGAAGCUGCAAAGGUGACAAUUUCAACACUUAAUAUUUUGGAUUUUCCCCAAGAAAACGUAAAGAUGUUGGAGAAGCUUCCAGCAUACCUCGCACGGAAAUGGCGUGACGAAGUUGACAGGUGGCAACGUCGUGGACUUGGUAGCUAUCCGACAUUCUCAAGAUUUGCAGAAUUCGUCAACGACGCAGCACGCAAGGCCAGCAUUCCAGAGUUGGAGUGCCUGAAGAACCAAGAAUCCAGGCCUAGGCAAUUUCCAGCUGGAAAUAAGGGAUUUGCUGGAAAGUCGCUGUCCACUAGAGCAUUCAAUGGUGGUCAACAAGGCAAGUUCUCAUCGUGUCCCUUUUGCAAUGAAAAGCACCAUCUGGAUGAGUGCAAGGAAUUCGCCAAGAAGCCUCAUCCACUUCGUAAGCACUUCUUCUUCCAGAAGAAACUUUGCAUGGGAUGUGGCAGUGAUGACAGCCACCAGGUAAAGGACUGUCCUCAGAGGAAAACAUGUAAGGAGUGUCAGGGAAGGCACCUCACAUGCCUGCAUCGUCCGCAGAACAGAGAAUAUGAAGGUUCCUCAAAGUGCACCAACGUCUGUUCCUUACCAGACCAGGACGGGAAAGAACACUGCAUGAUUGUGCCUGUGUGGGUACGGCAUGCUAGCAACCCAGGCAACGAGAUCUUACAAUACGCGAUCCUGGAUGACCAAUCCAACGUUGGAUUUGUGUCGAAAGCAUUGUGUGAGAAGAUGCGUGUAGAUGGAACAGAUACCAAUCUUCAAUUGACAACAAUGCACGAGAGUACGCGCAUCAAAACCUCAAGGAUCUGUGGACUUGAAGUGCUGGACUUUAAGAAGGAGCAUGUGGUCACCCUACCAGCAUGCUAUCAGAGGGACGACGUUCCAGCUAGGAGAUCUCAAAUUCCUAAGGGUGAAGUAAUGAAGAGAUGGGCUCAUCUGUCCCCCAUUGCCGACGACCUCAUGCCAUACAAUCCAGCAAUAGAAGUUGGACUUCUCAUCGGCAAUGACUGCCCGAGAGCCAUUAGACCCAGGGACAUCAUCUGCGGUGGAGAAGACGAACCCUACGCUCAGAGAUCCAUUCUGGGAUGGGGUGUCGUUGGGACCGUUUGCAAGUCUGCAAACCAGGAAAUCUUCUGCAAGAAGACAUAUGUCCAGGACGACUACCCUCACUUUGCCUACGCCAAUCGGGCAAAGGAAGUAUUCUCCCCAGAAAGAGUUCUCAACGUGCUGGAGAAGGAUUUCAUUGAAAUGAAUCAGAAGGGAAAGCCCUAUUCCAUCGACGAGAUGAAGUUCAUGAGCAUGUUGGAGAAAGGAGUCAGGAAGAGAGAGGAUGGACACUAUGAGAUGCCCCUACCUCUGAAGUCCAAGGAGAUGUCCCUUCCAUACAACAAGCCCCUCGCCAUCAAGAGAUGGAAUCAAUUGACUGCCAGAUUCAGGAAGAAUCAAAAGUUCCAGGAGGAUUACACCGAGUUCAUGAAGGGUGUGAUCGCUGAUCAUGCGGAAAGGGUGCCGACAGAUAGACUGAAUGCCCAAGAUAGGGUCAACUACAUCCCUCAUACAGGAGUCUACCAUCCUCGGAAGCCAGACAAGAUUCGAGUUGUCUUUGAUUGUUCAGCAGCAUACCAGGGAGUCUCUCUGAAUGAUCACCUCCUACAGGGCCCAAACUCGAUGAAUAGCCUAUUGGGUGUUCUCUGCAGGUUCCGCAAGGAAGAGGUGGCAUGUGCUGUUGAUGUAAAGAGCAUGUUCCACCAGUUCUUCGUGUCUCCAGAGGACAGAGAUUUGCUGCGCUUUCUCUGGUGGGAAGACGGUAACCCGGAAAAGCAAGUCGUGGAGUACCGCAUGACCGUCCAUCUCUUUGGAGCAGCAAGUUCACCCGGUGCAGCCACCUUCGGCCUACGAAAGGCAGCAGAGGAUGGAGAAGAUGAGUUUGGAGCUGACGCUGCUGAAUUCAUCAGGAAGGACUUCUAUGUGGAUGAUGGUUUGACUUCUGUACCUUCCACACAAAUAGCGGUGAAACUUCUGAAGGACAGCCAAGGGAUCUGUGCCAAGGCAGGUCUUAAGCUGCACAAGGUCAUCUCCAAUGACAUUGACGUUCUGAAGAGCUUUCCAAAAGAGGACAGGUCAAAGGAGGUCCAGCAGUUAGAUCUCGACAAGGAUUCACUGUCUCUGGAGAGAGUUCUGGGAGUCGUCUGGCGGAUCCAAAAUGAUGUCUUCAACUUCAUUGUGGAGAUAAAGGAAAGACCCUUCACCAGAAGAGGAGUCUUGUCCACGGUCAGCUCUUUCUACGAUCCAUGUGGUUUCAUCAGUCCUGUGAUGCUGCCUGGGAAGCGAAUCCUGCAGGAGAUGUGUCGCAGUAAUGCCGACUGGGACACUCCAAUGCCAGAAGCACUACGAGCACGCUGGGAGAAUUGGUUGGAGGAUGUACGUAAUCUGGAAGGACUACAGAUUCCAAGAUGUCUCAAACCGAAUGGGUUUGGGAAAAUCAAGCAGGUGGAGCUCCACCACUUCUCAGACGCGAGUGAAGAUGGCUACGGUCAGUGUACGUACGUCAGAUUCAUCAAUGAAGACGACAAUGUUCACUGUGCAUUGGUGAUUGGGAAAUCUCGAGUUACGCCACUGAGGCAGAUCACGAUUCCAAGGUUAGAACUGGCUGCAGCAACCACAUCUGCCAGGAUGAGCUCUUUCGUGAAAGAAGAGCUGAAGUAUCAUGACGCUAAGGACUUCUUCUGGACAGAUAGUCAGGUGGUGCUAGGAUACAUACGGAAUGAAGCCAAGAGAUUCCAUACUUACGUAGCCAACAGGGUACAACAAAUCCGAGACCUGACAGACCCCAAGGACUGGUUCUAUGUUGAUACCAGAGACAACCCAGCCGACGAAGCCUCAAGAGGAAUGUCAGCAAAGCAGCUGACACAUGACAGUCGCUGGCUCAGAGGACCAGAGUUUCUUUGGAGAAACCCUACUCAUCAAGCUGAGCAAACAGAUGCCUACCAGCUUAUGGAAGGUGAUCCUGAAGUGAGGAGAGCCAAUGUUAUGUCAACGCAGGCAACUGCAGCAAACACGAAGUAUCCUGAUCAGUUCAAGUCGAGCCGGCUUGAACCUUUCUCAAGCUGGUAUCGUGCUAAGAAGGCAAUCGCACGCUGUUUGCAACUCAAGGACCGACUUCGAAGAAAGGAAGUCAAGCGAUCUUCAUCAUCAAGCCAAGGAAAUGAAAGGCGGACCCUCCCUCCUCUGACAACAUCUCAGUUAGUGGAGGCAGAAAGGGUAAUUCUCAUGGCUGUUCAGAUGGACCAUUUCAAGGAUGAAAUGGAGGUGCUGAAGAAGCUUGAUGCGGUAGACAAAAUAUGUGACAGAACAGUGGCUCGAUCAAAGAAAGAUGACAUGAAGAGGACCAGCGCCCUGUACAGACUCGAUCCUUACCUCGACGAAGAUGGACUGGUUCGAGUAGGCGGUCGCAUUACCAGAGCCAACAUGUCCCGAGAUGUCAGACAUCCAGUCAUUCUCCCUCGACAUGGACAUAUCAGUCACUUGGUGAUCAGGCACUACCACCAAUGUGUUCAGCAUAUGGGUCGAGGCAUCACUCACAACGAAGUUAGGCAACAUGGAUUUUGGGUGAUUGGAGGAUCAUCAGCAGUCUCGCAGUGCAUUUCUGGCUGUGUGAAAUGCAGAAGUCUGCGAAGGAGGCCACUGCAGCAGAAGAUGGCGGAUCUGCCAGAAGACAGACUGGAACCAACACCUCCGUUCACAUACUCAGCAGUCGAUUACUUCGGACCUUUCCUGGUUAAGGAGCGACGAAGUGAGGUGAAAAGGUAUGGAGUCCUUUUCACUUGUAUGGCAUCAAGGAGUGUGCAUCUAGAGACAGCCAACAGUCUGACCGGAUCCAGCUUCAUAAAUGCCUUGCGGCGAUUUAUGAAUAGACGGGGAGUGGUGCGACAGCUGCGAUCCGACCAGGGAACAACUUUCAUAGGCGCCCGUACCGAGCUGAGACACGCCUUAGCUGAAAUGGACCAGUCUCAAGUGCAAGAAUACCUACUGCAGAACGGAUGUGAUUGGAUACCGUUCAAGAUGAACGUACCUCAUGCAUCUCACAUGGGCGGUGUCUGGGAAAGGCAAAUCCAGACUGUACGUCGAGUUCUAGAACCCCUUCUGCAAACGGUGGGUAGCCAGCUGGACGACGAGGCCUUCCGGACAUUUCUAACAGAGGCAGAGGCAAUCAUAAAUGCAAGGCCUCUGACAACAACGAAUCUGAGCGACUCUGGUGCCCCUGAACCACUGACUCCAAAUCACCUUCUGACAGCCAAGGCGAAGGUGGUUCUUCCUCCACCGGGAGCCUUCCAGCGCGAGGACCUCUAUUCACGCAAGUGGUGGAGGCGGGUUCAGUAUGCAGCCAACGAGUUCUGGGCUAGGUGGAGACGGGAGUACCUCCAGGAGCUGCAGAGCCGCCAGAAGUGGGUUCUUAAACGUCGAAACCUUGAGGUAGGCGACAUCGUCAUCUCAAAGGAGAACGAAGAUGCUCGCGGUCGGUGGCCACUCGCACGCGUAGUCGAUGUCUACCCCAGCAAGGACGGUUGCGUCAGAAAGGUCAAGAUACUGAUAGCAGACGGAACAUUGGACAAUGAGGGAAAGCGUAAACGCCCUCCCGUUGAACUUGAUAGACCUAUCCAGAAGUUGGUACUGUUGUUACCAGUUGAAAAGUAAUUUUGACUGUCACAAGUGAAGACCAGUGUAUAUUCCCCCUCAAGGAGCCUUUGAUAUUAAAUCGCGAACAAUGUUUUCAGCUCAUCUGAACAAUAAGCUAGGAUUAACAUGCGAGUUUCAUAAACAGUUAUGUUUUAUAGUAUUCACCUUUUAAUGUUUUGCAAUGUGAUAGAUGUUGCAGAUUUGUAUUUAUCAUGUACAUGUAUAUUGAUUUUAGGUGUUUGUCUUUAUUUAAAGUGUAAAUGGACAAGCCAUUUAAAGGAGCCAUGUCACUACAGCAGUGUGUAGUGAGGAUUGUUACAAGAUUUUGUUAAAUAAGGUCUAGUAUUGAAGACUAGUUAAUUCAGUCUGAAUUCAUAGACUACCAAUGGCAAUGUAUUAGGCAUGUACUGCUGUUAUCUAAUGUCAACAGAAGCCCCCUUGUCUUAUAUAACAGAAGCCCCCUUGUUUUAUAGUGCUAAAUGAAAGUACUUUGCAUACAAUGUAUGGGUAUGCAUUCUGUGUUUAGGCACUUGUGUUGUAGAUGUAUCGCAUAUUAUGUGUAGAGGCAGUAUAUCAUCAGUGUUCAAGUGAAUGUCUCAACAGUGAAGUUGCUAGUUGCAACCAUCUUCAAAAGUUUGAUUUCCAGUGAUUGUGGAGCAUUUUACAGACCCGAAUUGAUUGUUAUCUGAAGGUUGAGUGACCAUACGACCAGUGAAUAAACGACAGUUCGUGAACUUUAA